rnacentral:lncRNA from 1 species
UUUAGAAUAACUAGAAUUCAAAACCAUGACAACAUCUAAAGCUGGUAAGGAUAUAAAACAAGGGGAAUUUUCCUUUGCUGGUGGGAAUGCAAAACGGUACAGGCACUUUGGAAGAUAGAUGGACACUUUCUUAACAAAACUAAACAUACCCUUAACUCCAAUUCUCACUGCCCUAGAAAUGGCUCACCAAUUUCUCCAAACUGACCACUCUCAGGCAUUAGUUCCAUGUUACCAAUGCCUGCUGGAAUUCCAACUGAAUGUUCUACAGUCUGCAAAGUUCACAUCUCCAAAACCCAGCUCACCAUCUUGGCUACAAGAGAAAUGAAAGCCAUCAGAAUAUUUUAAGAAAGGGUGUGGCACGAUCAUACUGACUGCUGUGCAGAGGGCAAGAAUGGAAGAAGGAAAACCAGCCAGGAGGCCACUGCAGUCAGCCAGGCUAGAGAAAAUGACACUCGUCCUCUUUUGUAAGCUGGCAACAUGUCUUUUUUAUUUUAGAAGUACAGUUAUUUGAUUAUGAAUAAGGUUGAAUAUGUUUUUGCCCAUUUAUU